GAGUUUUGUCAUGCUUCAGAUUGACCGCUGGCGGCAUGCUUUACACAUGCAAGUCGAACGACAGCACGAGGGCAAUCUGGUGUCGAGUGGCGAACGGGUGAGUAAUACAUCGGAUCGUGUCGUGUAGUGGGGGAUAGCCCGGCGAAAGCCGGAUUAAUACGGCAUACUCUCUACGGAGGAAAGGGGGGGAUCUUAGGACCUCCCGCUUCAGGGGCGGCCGAUGGCAGAUUAGUUAGUUGGUGGGGUAAAGGCCUACCAAGGGGACGAUCUGUAGCUGGUCUGAGAGGACGUCCAGCCACACUGGGAUUGAGACACGGCCCAGAUUCUUACGGGAGGCAGCAGUGGGGAAUUUUGGACAAUGGGGGCAACCCUGAUCCAGCAAUGCCGCGUGUGUGAAGAAGUCCUUCGGGUUGUAAAGCACUUUUGUCCGGAAAGAAAACGCCGUGGUUAAUAUCCGUGGCGGAUGACGGUACCGGAAGAAUAAGCCCCGGCUAAUUACGUGCCAGCAGCCGCGGUAAUACGUAGGGUGCAAGCGUUAUUGGGAAUUACUGGGCGUAAAGCGUGCGCAGGCGGUCCGUUAAGACAGAUGUGAAAUCCCCGGGUUUACCCUGGGAACUGCAUUUGUGACUGGCGGGCUAGAGUAUGGCAGAGGGGGGUAGAAUUCCACGGGUAGCAGUGAAAUGGGUAGAGAUGGGGAGGAAUACCGAUGGGGAAGGCAGCCCCCUGGGCCAAUACUGACGUUCAUGCAGGAAAGCGUGGGGAGCAACCAGGAUUAGAUACCCUGGUAGUCCACCCCUUAAACGAUGUCAACUAGUUGUCGGGUCUUCAUUGACUUGGUAACGUAGCUAACGCGUGAAGUGACCG
rnacentral:rRNA from 1 species